UCCUUAGAUGUUCUGGGCAGCACGCGCGCUACAAUGGUCUUCGCAAACGGAUGCAUUCUCGAAGGAGAAUGCCAAUCUUGGAAUCUAUGCCUUGGUCGGGACAGUUGCUUGCAAUUUUUCGACUCGAACCAGGAAUUCCUUGUAAUCGUGAUUCAUCACAUCACGAUGAAUACGUCCCUGCCCUUUGUACACACCGCCCGUCGCUCCUACCGAUCGAAGAGUUAGGUGAAUUGUUUUGUUCGAUAAGAUUUGACUAUGGUCAACUCUCGUUGUGAAAUUCUGUGAAUCUGACUGUUUAGAGGAAGGAAAAGUCGUAACA
rnacentral:rRNA from 1 species